rnacentral:sRNA from 12 species
CCCUGACAGUUUCGUGGUGAAACUGACACUAGCCGAGACAGGAGAUUCGCAUG